UACGGAGGGGGCUAGCGUUGUUCGGAAUUACUGGGCGUAAAGCGUACGUAGGCGGCUUUGUAAGUUAGAGGUGAAAGCCCGGGGCUCAACUCCGGAACUGCCUUUAAGACUGCAUCGCUAGAACGUCGGAGAGGUGAGUGGAAUUCCGAGUGUAGAGGUGAAAUUCGUAGAUAUUCGGAAGAACACCAGUGGCGAAGGCGACUCACUGGACGACUGUUGACGCUGAGGUACGGAAAGCGAUGGGGAGCAAACAGGGAUU
rnacentral:rRNA from 1 species